UUUUUUUUUUUUUUUUUUGCUUCAUAUUUUCUAGUAUUAUUAUGAUCUUAUAUAUAUGCAGCAGGCUUGCAGAAAAGAAAUAGUUCCCUGAAGAGUAAAUGGGCAAUUGAGAUUAAACAACAGAAUGCAAGUCUAUAUAAAGGGAGAAAGUGUGAAACUGCAUCAUGUAACAAGAACAACUAAAAGCAAAGUGCAAAAUCUCAAUACCAAAAAAUGGUACAGAUUUUGGAUUAUAUGGGCAAAAACCAUCAUGGUUUUCAUUGAAUUGCAAGAUGCAAAAACAUCAGAAGGGAGAAUUCAGCGCAUCUAAAUUCAAGAUUAACGUGUACAGAUGAGGAGGCAUACUACAGACUGUUGGCAUAUAGGGGAAAAGCAUGUCAUUGUGUUCAAAAUUGAAUUUUAAGAGGUAAAAACUGCAGCAACUACACUUCAGUGCAUCUAAAUUCCACAUUGAUGUGUACCUUGCCAAAAGACUUGUUGAUGC
rnacentral:misc_RNA from 1 species